rnacentral:rRNA from 1 species
AUGGUGGGGAGCGGCAUGCAUGCCCAGCGCGGGGACCCGCUGGUGGUGGGGCGCGUGAUCGGCGACGUGGUGGACCCGUUCGUGCGGCGGGUGGCGCUGCGGGUCGGCUACGCGUCCAGGGACGUGGCCAACGGCUGCGAGCUGAGGCCGUCCGCCAUCGCCGACCCGCCGCGCGUCGAGGUCGGCGGCCCGGACAUGCGCACCUUCUACACGCUGGUGAGUUCCGCCUCCGCCGUACGUACGUCUGUACGUGCCAUGCUCGCGCGCUGCUUAAUUACUCCUCCUAGAUUACUUACUCCGGUGAGUGCGUGCGCGCAGGUGAUGGUGGAUCCGGAUGCUCCAAGUCCCAGCGAUCCCAGCCUUAGGGAGUACUUGCACUGGCUGGUCACCGACAUCCCGGCGACGACAGGAGUGUCUUUUGGGACCGAGGUGGUGUGCUACGAGGGCCCGCGGCCGGUGCUCGGGAUCCACCGGCUGGUGUUCCUGCUCUUCCAGCAGCUGGGCCGCCAGACGGUGUACGCCCCGGGGUGGCGGCAGAACUUCAGCACCCGCGACUUCGCCGAGCUCUACAACCUCGGCCUGCCCGUCGCCGCCGUCUACUUCAACUGCCAGAGGGAGACCGGAACCGGCGGGAGAAGGAUGUGA